rnacentral:tRNA from 1 species
GCGACUUUAGCUCAGUUGGGAGAGCGUCAGACUGAAGUGAAAACUCAGUCAAAAAUCUGAAGGUCUUGUGUUCGAUCCACAAAAGUCGCA